rnacentral:rRNA from 1 species
AUACGGAGGAUGCAAGCGUUAUCCGGAUUUAUUGGGUUUAAAGGGUGCGUAGGCGGUUUGCUAAGCGGGAGGUGAAAUGCCGGCGCUCAACGUCGGAAGUGCCUCCCGAACUGGGGGACUGGAAUGACUCUGCCGUGGGAGGAAUGUGUAGGGUAGCGGUGAAAUGCUUAGAGAUUACACAGAACACCGAUUGCGAAGGCAUCUCACGAAGGGUUGAUUGACGCUGAGGCACGAAAGCGUGGGGAUCAAACAGGAUUAGAUACCCUGGUAGUCCACGCAGUAAACGAUGAUGGCUAACCGCUGGUUUAUUCGGAUCAGUGGCCAAGCGAAAGCGAUAAGCCAUCCACCUGGGGAGUACGACCGCAAGGUUGAAACUCAAAUGAAUUGACGGGG